ensembl:lncRNA
GAAAGACUUUUUAGGCCUCUACCAGGAUUGUUCCCUGUCUGUCUGCACCCACUGUCUUCUACAGAAGUCAUUGUGUGAGAAAAAAAUGUGUGAGCUACAAUGAUGGGAGUCACACUGGCAAGCCUCCAGUCUUCUGGGACCUCACCAGUCAACAAGGAGUGCUGAUAGAUGAUGGAAGGCGGCUCGGCUAUCACCUCUGCCAGUUCCCUCAGCACUCUCAGGUGGAUCUCAUCCGGCACCGUGGACUUCUGGCAGUCCAAUUGGAGUAGCAGGUCUCUGACUGUUUCUUCCUGAAUCGUGGGGGGUUUAGUCUGCUCCCCAGCCGAGACUACCAGGUCAGAGAGUGGAGUACCCACUG